AUGGCUCAGGAUGAACGCUAGCUACAGGCUCAACACAUGCAAGUCGAGGGGCAGCAUGUGGUUGCUGCAACCAAUGAUGGCGACCGGCGCACGGGUGAGUAACGCGUAUCCAACCUUCCCCUUAGUAGGGCAUAGCCCGGCGAAAGUCGGAUUAAUACCCUAUGUUCUUCGUAGAUGACAUCUGAAAUGAAGCAAAGGUUUACCGCUAAGGGAUGGGGAUGCGUCUGAUUAGGCAGUCGGCGGGGUAACGGCCCACCGAGCCGACGAUCAGUAGGGGUUCUGAGAGGAAGGUCCCCCACAUUGGAACUGAGACACGGUCCAAACUCCUACGGGAGGCAGCAGUGAGGAAUAUUGGUCAAUGGGCGCGAGCCUGAACCAGCCAAGUAGCGUGCAGGAAGACGGCCCUAUGGGUUGUAAACUGCUUUUAUGCGGGGAUAAAGUCGCCCACGUGUGGGUGUUUGUAGGUACCGCAUGAAUAAGGACCGGCUAAUUCCGUGCCAGCAGCGGC
rnacentral:rRNA from 1 species